GCCAGGCUCUGUGGUGUAUACCUGUAAUCCCAGCUACUUGGAGGCUGAGGCAGGAUGACACAAAUUGGAGACCACAUGGGCAAUUUAGGGAGACCCUGUCUCAA
rnacentral:sRNA from 1 species